rnacentral:rRNA from 1 species
GACGAACGCUGGCGGCGUGCUUAACACAUGCAAGUCGAGCGGAAAGGCCCUGCUUUUGUGGGUUGCUCGAGUGGCGAACGCGGGAGUAACACGUGAGUAACCUGCCCUUAAAUUUGGGAUAACUUCAGGAAACUGGGGCUAAUACCGGGUAGAAUCUACUGCUGCAUGGUGGGGAUUAGAAAAUGUCGGCGGUUGUGUCUGGACUGGCGGCUUAUGCGCUGGUUGGUGGGGUAGGGGCUUACCAGGGCUUUGACGGGUAGCCGGCAUGAGAGGGUGAACGGCGACCUUGGGACUGCGAGAGGCACCAGAAUCCUACGUGAGGCAGCAGUGGGGAAUAUUGCACAACGGGGGGAAGUGUGAUGCAGCAACGCUGGGUGCGGGAUGACGGGUUUCGGGGUGUAAACAGAUUUCGACUGUGAUGAAGAGUGAGUGACGGUAAUGGGUAAAGAAGCAACGGCUAACUACGUG